rnacentral:rRNA from 1 species
GACAGAGGAUGCAAACGUUGCUCGGAAUUACUGGGCGUAAAGCGCGUGUAGGCGGUCUUGUAAGUCGGAUGUGAAAUCCCGGGGCUCAACCCCGGAAGCGCACUCGAUACUGCUUGACUUGGGUUCUGAAGAGGAGAGCGGAAUUCCCGGUGUAGAGGUGAAAUUCGUAGAUAUCGGGAGGAACACCAGUGGCGAAGGCGGCUCUCUGGGCAGAUACCGACGCUGAGACGCGAAAGCGUGGGAAGCAAACAGG